CGACCGCAGAGCAAUUCGGCGGGCCCCCGCUGAUCUCCGCCUGGCCAAGCGAGGUGGGACAAAGCGGGCCUCCUCCUUCACUUCUGCGACUCCGACCGAGGGAGCUGCCCAGUCUCGGCUUGGAAGAGGUCCAACAAAGAGUGGACCAAAGUCAUGUGUUCCUGCCAGCAGACAAUUCCACUAGGAUUUUAAGGACACCAUUUACCUGGUUUCAGUGCUUGAGGCAGAGGCAACUGUGCGUCAUUCCUGUUCCCCCCUGUGGGGAAAGGGAGAGUGUAUUAGCAGAUUAUGGAUCCUCUGACCCGCCCAAGUGGAGACAUUAUGCGGCGGAAUCCACAGCAAGAUUACGAGCUCAUCCAGAGAGUGGGGAGUGGCACCUAUGGAGAUGUCUAUAAGGCCAGAAAUGUGCACAAUGGCGAGUUGGCUGCAGUUAAAAUUAUCAAACUAGAACAAGGUAAGCAUUUCUCUAUUUUCUAAUGGUACUGAAUUGUUUUCUUAAUCACACUGCUAAUCAAA